rnacentral:tRNA from 1 species
GUGGGUAUAGUAUAAUAUAUUAUAAUGGGUUUAGGUCCCAGAGAUUUAUUGCCCACU